AAGACUAUACUUUCAGGGAUCAUUUCUAUAGUUUCUAACUGGAGAAAUGUGUUUCUAAAGUGUUUGGUCUCGCCAACCAUGAUGAUGAGUUGUGAUAUUUCUUUCUGAGCGUGAAGCGGACAGAGAGUAAUGAUUCGUUUCAUAUGUUCUCUGUCAUUGAUGAUUGUUCUUUACUUCUUUGUGGAGUAUUGAGGAAGGGAAUAUGAUCAGAGUGGUU
ensembl:snoRNA